AAUAUAAAGAAAAGACGAACAGCUCAGUAACUCUUAUUUUAUUUGAUGUAUUAGGAUUAUAACUAUGUUAAAUUAUAGAUAACAAUAAUACAAUAAGAAUAAGAUCUAUCAGUUAGUUGUUAAGGUAAUGGCUUAACAAGACUAUGACGGAUAACGGUAUUACUUUGUAAUAUUCCGGAGAAGGAGCCUGAGAGAUUGCUACUAAGUCUAAGGAUUGCAGCAGGGGCGAAACUUGACCUAUGAUAUGAUAUUGAGGCAGUUAUGAGUAGUAUUUUUAAUUAUUGUAGUAUUGUAAGUAUAUACUACAAGAUAAAUCGGAGGGCAAAUCGAGUGCCA
rnacentral:rRNA from 1 species